CGCACGGGUGAGUAACACGUAUCCAACCUGCCGUCUACUCUUGGCCAGCCUUCUGAAAGGAAGAUUAAUCCAGGAUGGCAUCAUGAGUUCACAUGUCCGCAUGAUUAAAGGUAUUUUCCGGUAGACGAUGGGGAUGCGUUCCAUUAGAUAGUAGGCGGGGUAACGGCCCACCUAGUCAACGAUGGAUAGGGGUUCUGAGAGAAAGGUCCCCCACAUUGGAACUGAGACACGGUCCAA
rnacentral:rRNA from 1 species